CCAAUUUUGUAUAUUUUUCCAUUUUUUGAAAAUUUUGGAUUUUUCUUUGGUUUAUCUAAAAUUUAAAAGGUAUUUAUUAAUAAAAUGUUCAAAUAAACUCAAAACACUUUGAUUUUGAUCAUAAAAAAAUGAUUAGAAGUAAGUCAUUUACAUAUUUAAAACUUUGAUGCAGGCUCGGUCAAUAAAAGAUUUUUAUAUGGUUACAACGUUUCGAGCAUGAAUACACUCUUCAUCAGACCUUUAUUGAAAAAUUAUAAAUUAAUGUACAUUAUUAUACAUAAGUCAACAAAACUUACAACAACAAUUAGUUGAUUUGUAUUUACAACAAAAACACACAUUUCAAUUUAUUUAUCAGCAUUAAAUGAACUAUAAGAUUAAAUAUAAAUUAAAAUUUAAACAUUUUAUAAAUAAAAAUAAAACUAUUAAACAGUAAAAAUUAAAUUUUGCAAAACCUACAAGAAUUUUUUCACACCACUGUUCACGACGACUUUUUCUUUUUAUUUGUUAUCAGCUGGUUGUAUAUAAUGCUGAGACUGUCACAAUCAGACCGUCUAUUAACUGCAUUAUCGGUGUUGUUGAUAUGCAGCAUCUCUAGCAACAUUCUUUUGUUAUGAUGCCUCUCCACCUCCAAAAUUGUGACGUCAUCAAAGUUAGGUUUGUGGUUCUUUUCUAUGCAAUGCAAGUGCAGUUUUUUGAGAGCCACCGUUGUUUAUAUCGGAUCGAUGGCCUGAGAGACGAUUGCGGAGCUUUUGUUUCGAUGUUCCUACAUAUACGGAAGAACAAUCCGUCCCACUCCCACCUACACAUUUAAUUUUGUAAACCACGUCUGACUUAUCCGUUUUCUCUAUUUUUCCUUUGGUGUUGGUGAAAAGUAAUGUUCUUAGAGUAAGUGCAGACUUAAACGCUAUUCUCGUUUUCUCUUUGUUUCUAAGUGGUGCUGUUUUUAUGCGGUUUGAAAGAGAUGGUAUAUACAAAGUACUACGGUAGCUUAUGAUAAGUUGAUCAUUAGGGGGGGUGGGUGUACAUUUAUUUUUACUAAUUUGUAUUAAUUUGUUGAUGACAUGAGCGGGGAAUGAGUUCGAACACAGGGUGUUCUCAAUAAUUUUAAUAUUUUUAUUUCGAAAAUAUAUAUGACUACAAUCAAGCACUUUAUUAAUGAAAUUUUUCCAAUCAAUAUGAUAUUAAAGAUAGUUGAGAGAAAUUGGAACAAUAUAAAACUACACACUAAAAUAAGAAAGUCCAUGUUCAUGGAAAUGCUACGAUUCUGUAUAAUCGACAACAAUUACUUAGAAUUUGAAAACAAAAUAUAUCAACAGAAGCAAGGGGUACCUAUGGGUAGCCCCAUUUCACCUAUAUUGGCGGACAUAGUAAUGGAGGCAUUGCUGGAAGACGUAAUUGAGAAAUGAGUAUCGAAACCAAAAAUAAUAACAAAAUAUGUCGAUGAUCUGUUUGCAAUAGUUAAAUCUGAUUGUGUUUCUAUAACGGUAGAAGCUUUGAAUUCAUUUCAUAGAAAGAUUCAAUUUACGGUGGAGGCAGAAAAAGAAGGACGUCUAGCCUAUCUCGAUGUCCAAGCAGUAAGGGACAAUGGCAAAAUUAUCUUCGAUUGGUUCAAAAAACCUACUUCAUCUGGACGUCUAAUAAAUUUUCAUUCUAAACAACCAAAACAGCUUAUAUUCAAUACUGCCCAAAAUUUCAUUAAUAAAGUGCUUGAUUGUAGUCAUAUUAAUUUUCGAAAUAAAAAUAUUAAAAUUAUUGAGAACACCCUUUGUUCGAACUCAUUCCCCGCUCAUGUCAUCAACAAAUUAAUACAAAAUAGUAAAAAUAAAUGUACACCCACCCCCCCUAAUGAUCAACUUCCCAUAAGCUACCGUAGUACUUUGUAUAUACCAUCUCAUUCAAACCGCAUAAAAACAGCACCACUUAGAAACAAAGAGAAAACGAGAAUAGCGUUUAAGUCUGCACUUACUCUAAGAACAUUACUUUUCACCAACACCAAAGGAAAAAUAGAAAAAAUGGAUAAGUCAGACGUGGCUUACAAAAUUAAAUGUGCAGGUGGGAGUGAGACGGAUUGUUCUUCCGUAUAUGUAGGAACAUCGAAACAAAAGCUCCGCAAUCGUCUCUCAGGCCAUCGAUCCGAUAUAAACAACGGUGGCUCUCAAAAAACUGCACUUGCAUUGCAUAGAAAAGAACCACAAACCUAACUUUGAUGACGUCACAAUUUUGGAGGUGGAGAGGCAUCAUAACAAAAGAAUGUCGUAGAGAUGCUGCAUAUCAACAACACCGAUAAUGCAGUUAAUAGACGGUCUGAUUGUGACAGUCUCAGCAUUAUAUACAACCAGCUAAUAACAAAUAAAAAGAAACAGUCGUCGUGAACAGUGGUGUGAAAAAAUUCUUUUCAUUUAAUGCUGGUAAAUAAAUUGAAAUGUGUGUUUUUGCUGUAAAUACAAAUCAAAUAAUUGUUGUUGUAAGUUUUGUUGAUUUAUGUAUAAUAAUGUACAUUAAUUUAUAAUUUUUCAAUAAAGGCCUGAUGAAGAGUGUAUUCAUGCUCGAAACGUUGUAACCAUAUAAAAAUCUUUUAUUGACCUGGAGCCUGCAUCAAAGUUUUUCAUAUAUAUACUAUUUGAAGAGGUCACUACAAAAUUCCUAUAAUU